AACUAUAGUGAUAGCAGUAACUAUAGUGAUAGAGGUAACUAGAGAUAGAGGUAACUAUAGCGAUAGAGGUAACUAUAGCGAUAGAGGUAACUAGAGAUAGAGGUAACUAUAGUGAUAGAGGUAACUAUAGUGAUAGCGGUAACUAUAGUGAUAGUGGUAACUAGAGAUAGAGGUAACUAGAGAUAGAGGUAACUAUAGUGAUAGAGGUAACUAUAGUGAUAGAGGUAAGUAUAGUGAUAGCGGUAACUAGAGAUAGAGGUAACUAUAGUGAUAGAGGUAACUAGAGAUAGAGGUAACUAUAGUGAGAGAGAUAACUAGAGAUAGACAUAACUAGCGAUAGAGGUAACUAUAGCGAUAGAGAUAACUAGCGAUAGAGGUAACUAUAGCGAUAAAGGUAACUAGAGAUAGAGGUAACUAUAGUGAUAGAGAUAACUAGAGAUAGACAUAACCAGCGAUAGAGGUAACUAUAGCGAUAGAGAUAACUAGCGAUAGAGGUAACUAUAGCGAUAAAGGUAACUAGAGAUAGAGGUAACUAUAGCGAUAGAGGUAACUAGAGAUAGAGGUAACUAGAGAUAGAGGUAACUAUAGCGAUAGUGGUAACUAUAGCGAUAGAGGUAACUAGAGAUAGAGGUAACUAUAGCGAUAGAGGUAAGUAGAGAUAGAGGUAACUAGCGAUAGAGGUAGCUAUAGCGAUAGUGGUAACCAUGGUGACAAAGGUAACUAUAAUGAUACAGAUUACAAUAGUGACAUAUAUAAGGCUGGAUAUUAUGGUCUGUUUAAAGCUGCCUCCAGUGUGAUCAGUUUCAUGCAGGUUUUCACACAGGAAGGCAUUCUUGAGGAAAACAUGGUUCCUGGCCUAUUACAGUGUGUCUCAUGGAGCUUAUAAGAAACGUCCCGAGUGUGUUUUGAAACAUGCUAUGAAUCAUGACGGGGUGAACACAGCAGCGCAGGUUCUUCAUGGAACCCACCCAGGCGUCCUGCUUUAAAUAAAAGCCAAACGUCCAUAACCGCCCACGUGCGAUUCCAUCUGCUGUGAGAAUGACAAUGAAACAAAACAAGGAUGAAGAUUCUUCCUUUAAUGUCGAGUCGAUUUAAUAAACUUGUCACAAAUUGACACUCGUAUCCGUGUGAAGCGAUCAGGGACAGCCUGAACGUGUUUCACGUUUCACCGAGGUGUGGUUGAUCACACGUCAAGGCACAGGGAUUGUGUGUGACGGGUUUUCCCUACGGUAAGCAGAACUCUUAAUCAGUACUCUUCACAUACACACACACACACACACACACACACACACAAAGAGAAAAGCAGUCCCUCUUUGCUUUGAACCGGCUGCAGGUAAUUAGUUCUCAGCAUCGAGGUUGUUCACAUUAACAGGUGUGAGUUCUUUGCAUUUAUAAAAAGGUUAUGCAUUAAUAAGACAUGCGCUCAGCCGUUAAGACUCGGAACACCAUGUUCUCCGUGUGUCGCUGUGGAAUGAUAUAAAUUCACAGUAUGAUAACGGCCACGAAAAUUUUGCAGAAGAAAUACUAUUUCUACAGAG
ensembl:lncRNA